rnacentral:snRNA from 1 species
AGGACUGUUUUAAUUACAAAGAAAUCCAGACUCAGUUUAAUAUCUGAUACGUCCCCUACCCGGGGACCAUAUAUUAAAUAGAUUUUUGGAACAGGGAGAUGGAAUAAGGGCUUUCUCUGUCCACUCCACGCAUCGACCUGGUAUUGCAGUACUUCCAGGAACGGUGCACCCCCA